AUUGAACGCUGGCGGCAGGCCUAACACAUGCAAGUCGAGCGGAGCGGCGGACGGGUGAGUAAUGCCUAGGAAUCUGCCUGGUAGUGGGGGAUAACGUCCGGAAACGGGCGCUAAUACCGCAUAGGAUCAGAUGAGCCUAGGUCGGAUUAGCUAGGUGGGGGGGUAAAGGCCUACCAAGUCGACGAGCCGUAACUGGGCUGAGAGGAUGAUCAUUAACACUGGAACUGAGACACGCGCCAGACUCCUACGGGAGGCCCCAGUGGGGAAUAUUGGCCUAUGGGCGACAGCCUGCGCCAGCCAUGCCGCGUGUGUGAAGAAGGUCUUCGGAUUGUAAAGCACUUUAAGUUGGGAGGCGUUACCAACAGAAUACGCCCCGGCUAACUUCGUGCCAGCAGCCGCGGUAAUUC
rnacentral:rRNA from 1 species